GCCUUUAUGGUGUAACUCUCAACACAUUACUUUUUCAAGGUAAAAUUAGAAAAUAUUCUUAAAGACA
rnacentral:tRNA from 1 species